AGUCAUGGCUUAAUUUCUUGGGUCAUGUAAAAUCUCUUUAAUUGCUGGAACCUCAUAAAGCUUCAGAUAGGAUACUAGACAGUGAUGUACUAGCGAACCCUAAAAAUUCUGAAGAUAUGUUGACAAUCAGCAGCGAAGACUCUAAUGUAGAGUAACGUCCAACGACCAGUAAGACCUGAUAAAGCAGGCAUACCACGUAAGCUAUUGACGGUGAUUUCUGAAAUGAAAUCUUUAGGGAAACGGGAGACACCUUCGGGUGAAGAUAUGGUCUAUUCUUUAUGGAAACAUAAAG
rnacentral:ncRNA from 1 species